rnacentral:tRNA from 1 species
CCCUGGUUAGCUCAGCUGGUAAAGCGCUCCACUGAAAAUGGACAGGUCCCGGGCUUAAUACUGGACCAGGCG